AGUGAACGCUGGCGGUAGGCCUAACACAUGCAAGUCGAACGGCAGCACAGUAAGAGCUUGCUCUUACGGGUGGCGAGUGGCGGACGGGUGAGGAAUACAUCGGAAUCUACUUUUUCGUGGGGGAUAACGUAGGGAAACCUACGCUAAUACCGCAUACGACCUACGGGUGAAAGCAGGGGAUCUUCGGACCUUGCGCGGUUGAAUGAGCCGAUGUCGGAUUAGCUAGUUGGCGGGGUAAAGGCCCACCAAGGCGACGAUCCGUAGCUGGUCUGAGAGGAUGAUCAGCCACACUGGAACUGAGACACGGUCCAGACUCCUACGGGAGGCAGCAGUGGGGAAUAUUGGACAAUGGGCGCAAGCCUGAUCCAGCCAUACCGCGUGGGUGAAGAAGGCCUUCGGGUUGUAAAGCCCUUUUGUUGGGAAAGAAAAGCAGCAGGUUAAUACCCCGCUGUUCUGACGGUACCCAAAGAAUAAGCACCGGCUAACUUCGUG
rnacentral:rRNA from 1 species